rnacentral:miRNA from 1 species
AAAAGUAAUUGCGGGUUUUGCCAUAAAUGUAAUGGCAAAAAUUGCAAUUACUUAUGCACCAACCUAAUAUUUUUAAUACUUCCAGCCCCAAACAAUUGU